UGGGGAAUUUUGGACAAUGGGCGAAAGCCUGAUCCAGCAAUGCCGCGUGUGUGAAGAAGGCCUUCGGGUUGUAAAGCACUUUUGUCCGGAAAGAAAUCCUUGGCUCUAAUACAGUCGGGGGAUGACGGUACCGGAAGAAUAAGCACCGGCUAACUACGUGCCAGCAGCCGCGGUAAUACGUAGGGUGCAAGCGUUAAUCGGAAUUACUGGGCAUAAAGCGUGCGCAGGCGGUUUGCUAAGACCGAUGUGAAAUCCCCGGGCUCAACCUGGGAACUGCAUUGGUGACUGGCAGGCUAGAGUAUGGCAGAGGGGGGUAGAAUUCCACGUGUAGCAGUGAAAUGCGUAGAGAUGUGGAGGAAUACCGAUGGCGAAGGCAGCCCCCUGGGCCAAUACUGACGCUCAUGCACGAAAGCGUGGGGGAGCAAACAGGAUUAGAUACCCUGGUAGUCCACGCCCUAAACGAUGUCAACUAGUUGUUGGGGAUUCAUUUCCUUAGUAACGUAGCUAACGCGUGAAGUUGACCGCCUGGGGAGUACGGUCGCAAGAUUAAAACUCAAAUGAAUUGACGGGGUCAUAGCUG
rnacentral:rRNA from 1 species